rnacentral:rRNA from 1 species
UGGGGAAUUUUGGACAAUGGGCGAAAGCCUGAUCCAGCAAUGCCGCGUGUGUGAAGAAGGCCUUCGGGUUGUAAAGCACUUUUGUCCGGAAAGAAAUCCUUGGCUCUAAUACAGUCGGGGGAUGACGGUACCGGAAGAAUAAGCACCGGCUAACUACGUGCCAGCAGCCGCGGUAAUACGUAGGGUGCAAGCGUUAAUCGGGAAUUACUGGGCGUAAAGCGUGCGCAGGCGGUUUGCUAAGACCGAUGUGAAAUCCCCGGGCUCAACCUGGGAACUGCAUUGGUGACUGGCAGGCUAGAGUAUGGCAGAGGGGGGUAGAAUUCCACGUGUAGCAGUGAAAUGCGUAGAGAUGUGGAGGAAUACCGAUGGCGAAGGCAGCCCCCUGGGCCAAUACGGACGCUCAUGCACGAAAAGCGUGGGGAGCAAACAGGAUUAGAUACCCUGGUAGUCCACGCCCUAAAACGAUGUCAACUAGUUGUUGGGGAUUCAUUUCCUUAGUAACGUAGCUAACGCGUGAAGUUG